CCGAGUCUUAACUGGGCGUUAAGUUGCAGGGUAUAGACCCGAAACCCGGUGAUCUAGCCAUGGGCAGGUUGAAGGUUGGGUAACACUAACUGGAGGACCGAACCGACUAAUGUUGAAAAAUUAGCGGAUGACUUGUGGCUGGGGGUGAAAGGCCAAUCAAACCGGGAGAUAGCUGGUUCUCCCCGAAAGCUAUUUAGGUAGCGCCUCGUGAAUUCAUCUCCGGGGGUAGAGCACUGUUUCGGCAAGGGGGUCAUCCCGACUUACCAACCCGAUGCAAACUGCGAAUACCGGAGAAUGUUAUCACGGGAGACACACGGCGGGUGCUAACGUCCGUCGUGAAGAGGGAAACAACCCAGACCGCCAGCUAAGGUCCCAAAGUCAUGGUUAAGUGGGAAACGAUGUGGGAAGGCCCAGACAGCCAGGAUGUUGGCUUAGAAGCAGCCAUCAUUUAAAGAAAGCGUAAUAGCUCACUGGUCGAGUCGGCCUGCGCGGAAGAUGUAACGGGGCUAAACCAUGCACCGAAGCUGCGGCAGCGACACUAUGUGUUGUUGGGUAGGGGAGCG
rnacentral:rRNA from 1 species